rnacentral:rRNA from 1 species
UGGGGAAUAUUGCACAAUGGGCGCAAGCCUGAUGCAGCCAUGCCGCGUGUAUGAAGAAGGCCUUCGGGUUGUAAAGUACUUUCAGCGAGGAGGAAGGCGGUAAGGUUAAUAACCUUAUCGAUUGACGUUACUCGCAGAAGAAGCACCGGCUAACUCCGUGCCAGCAGCCGCGGUAAUACGGGGGGUGCAAGCGUUAAUCGGAAUUACUGGGCGUAAAGCGCACGCAGGCGGUCUGUCAAGUCGGAUGUGAAAUCCCCGGGCUCAACCUGGGAACUGCAUUCGAAACUGGCAGGCUAGAGUCUUGUAGAGGGGGGUAGAAUUCCAGGUGUAGCGGUGAAAUGCGUAGAGAUCUGGAGGAAUACCGGUGGCGAAGGCGGCCCCCUGGACAAAGACUGACGCUCAGGUGCGAAAGCGUGGGGAGCAAACA